rnacentral:ribozyme from 12 species
CAUUCGUAAAGAGAAACGAAGAAAGCAUAGAGAGCAAAAGAAAUUGGCAAAACGUAAGCAAAGUCAAGACUGAUUUCUUUUUUUGGAUGGAUAGUGCCUUUUUGUAUCCUUCUUUUGUCGUUUCGAAA